GAUGAACGCUAGCGACAGGCUUAACACAUGCAAGUCGAGGGGCAGCAAUUUGUAGCAAUACAAAGUUGGCGACCGGCGCACGGGUGAGUAACGCGUAUGCAACCUACCUACAACAGAAGAAUAAUCCGGCGAAAGUCGGUCUAAUACUUCAUAAAACAGGGACAUCGCAUGGUGUUGUUUGUUAAAGAUUUAUCGGUUGUAGAUGGGCAUGCGUACCAUUAGGUAGUUGGUGAGGUAACGGCCCACCAAGCCUACGAUGGUUAGGGGUUCUGAGAGGAAAGUCCCCCACACUGGUACUGAGACACGGACCAGACUCCUACGGGAGGCAGCAGUGAGGAAUAUUGGUCAAUGGGCGAGAGCCUGAACCAGCCAAGUCGCGUGAAGGAUGACAGCCCUAUGGGUUGUAAACUUCUUUUGCAGGGGAAUAAAGAUAUUCACGUGUGGGUAGUUGUAUGUACCCUGCGAAUAAGCAUCGGCUAACUCCGUGCCAGCAGCCGCGGUAAUACGGAGGAUGCGAGCGUUAUCCGGAUUUAUUGGGUUUAAAGGGUGCGUAGGUGGGCUGUUAAGUCAGUGGUGAAAGUUUGUCGCUCAACGAUAAAAUUGCCGUUGAAACUGGUGGUCUUGAGUAUGGAUGAAGUAGGUGGAAUGCGUGGUGUAGCGGUGAAAUGCAUAGAGAUCACGCAGAACUCCGAUUGCGAAGGCAGCUUACUAAGGCAUAACUGACACUGAAGCACGAAAGCGUGGGUAUCAAACAGG
rnacentral:rRNA from 1 species